UACGUAGGGGCAAGCGUUGUCCGGAAUCAUUGGGCGUAAAGAGCGCGUAGGCGGCCCGAUAAGUCCGCUGUGAAAGUCAAGGGCUUAACCCUUGAAUGCCGGUGGAAACUGUCGGGCUAGAGUCCGGAAGAGGCGAGUGGAAGUUCCUGGUGUAGCGGUGAAAUGACGUAGAGUAUCAGGAGGAACACCUGUGGCGAAGGCGGCCCUCUGGACGGAUACUGACGCUGAGACGCGAAAGCGUGGGGAGCAAACAGG
rnacentral:rRNA from 1 species